UACGUAGGGUGCGAGCGUUGUCCGGAAUUACUGGGCGUAAAGAGCUCGUAGGCGGUUUGUCGCGUCUGCUGUGAAAACUCGGGGCUUAACUCCGGGCCUGCAGUGGGUACGGGCAGACUAGAGUGCGGUAGGGGAGACUGGAAUUCCUGGUGUAGCGGUGAAAUGCGUAGAUAUCAAGAGGAACACCAGUGGCGAAGGCGAGUCCCUGGACAACACCUGACACUGAGGCACGAAAGCUAGGGGAGCAAACAGG
rnacentral:rRNA from 1 species